UGUAGGAGCCGGCUUGCUGGCGAUUGCAGCGUCACAUCAACAUCUAAUCGAAUGUUGCACUGCCAUCGCCAGUAAGCCGGCUCCUACA
rnacentral:misc_RNA from 1 species